ncrna:unclassified sequences NiCo riboswitch
ACAGUACAAACUGAGCAGACCGAGAUUAUCAUAUAUAACAAUUUUUAACUAAGCUUAUUGUAUAAUCCUGGAGUCGGGUCACACGCGUGACAGUGGAAUCUUUUCUAUCCACGGGACAGUA